rnacentral:misc_RNA from 1 species
AAGGAUCAUUACCGAGUGAGGGCCCUCUGGGUCCAACCUCCCACCCGUGUUUAUUUACCUUGUUGCUUCGGCGGGCCCGCCUUAACUGGCCGCCGGGGGGCUCACGCCCCCGGGCCCGCGCCCGCCGAAGACAUCUUGAACGCUGUAUGAAGAUUGCAGUCUGAGCGAAAAGCUAAAUUAAUUAAAACUUUCAACAACGGAUCUCUUGGUUCCG